UACGUAGGGUGCAAGCGUUGUCCGGAAUUAUUGGGCGUAAAGAGCUCGUAGGCGGUCUGUCGCGUCUGCUGUGAAAAUCCAGGGCUCAACCCUGGACCUGCAGUGGGUACGGGCAGACUAGAGUGCGGUAGGGAGAUCGGAAUUCCUGGUGUAGCGGUGAAAUGCGCAGAUAUCAGGAGGAACACCGGUGGCGAAGGCGGUUCUCUGGGCAUGUCCUGACGCUGAGGAGCGAAAGUGUGGGAGCGAACAGG
rnacentral:rRNA from 1 species